GAUCGGUCCUUCCCUGCGCAACAAGGAAAACCACGUACGGGAACCGGUCCUCAAGAUCAGAGACCGGUCUCCCAAACCUACUACGCAGAAAAGCUUGAUGGGUCCGGUCCUUCUGAUCAAGGACCGGUCCCCGACCCCUGAGUUUUUUAGAAAACUUAAGUUUGAUCAACUCAAAUAUAAAUCAAGUCUUCUAAACAUCUUUUAACAAUAAAAAUUUCACCACAAAUUAUUUACAAUCAUACCUGAGAUCCCAAGGGUCUUUGAUCACAAAACUUCAAUUCUUUUUUCAAUCUUCAUCUUCUAAUCCUUCGAGACUCCGUCCAAUACUUCACGAAAUUCGCCAACUUAUAAAAUCCUUAACAAUCUCCCCCUUUGGCGAUUUCGUGACAAAAUAAAAAAAAUACACUGUUCAUCCAAAAAAUAAAAUAAGAAGGUUAUUGCAAUCACCAAACAACAAUCAUCUGCAUGAUCGAUCCAGUAAAAACAAAAUUACAUUUUUCACAUCCUACUCUAUGACUUAGGACACGACAU
rnacentral:lncRNA from 1 species